rnacentral:misc_RNA from 1 species
UGUUGCUGUUUGGGUUUUGAGAUUUAUGUUUGUAAAAAUUGCAAUGCCCCCAUUUGAUCAGUGCCGAUCUGGGAUUUAUGUCGUAAUUGAUGCUUGUCAUUGUAACCAUUUUAUGCUAUGAUCUCAGAUAUCAAGAUUUUACAAGCAGCUCUUCUAGUACCUUAUAUUUUUUGGUGGAACAAGAAUCAAUGAUUGAAAAUAAUCCUUACCUUUUCCUCCCUUAUUGGAGCUAAGAAAUGGUGGGUUAGGCUAAAAUAGAUUAAAAAAAUGAAGUGCGUAACAACAAGAAUGCUGAUAUGAAUCACAGAAAUCUGAAAUACUCUAUGCAUAAGCUCCAAAGCAAAUCAUAAUUUGUUGAAUCAUAAAUUGUCUUGACAAAACUCCUACUUAGAAUGGUUCUUAUGUGUAGAUUCAGAGUGCGUUAUUGCCAGUACUUUAAAAGAUUGGCAAACCUAAAGGGACUGUAGCAACAUGGUUGUAUGCAGAUAUAGACUAAACAUUACCAGGUUCUUUGUAGGUUGGAUAUAAAUAAAAUGUCAUUGUGUUUGUUUUAGGGUAAUAAAAUGGUAUCUAGCAGAAUGAUUAAUUAUAUGUAAUGGAAAGUUGG